GGCUUAAAUGCGUUUCAAAAAUUAAACCUGAGCGACAAGGUGCUGCUAUCGAAACUGUCUUUGGAGUGUGAACUAUAAGUCUUUUGGACUUAUGACCAUCACUCUAGACGUUUAUGUUUUGGUGUUGGCCCUUGAUGCUCAUUUUGAACGCAACGGACGUGAUUGCAACCCCUUGUUGAGAUUUAUCCGAUCUCUACGUUCACUGAACCCCACUCUUUAGCGAGAGCAGUGGGGAUGUGGAUAAACUCGGGGGACUGCUGACUAUAAACUUUUCUCAAACCAGAGGAAGGUUGCGGCAAUAACAGGUCUGUGAUGCCCUCAGAUGUUCCGGGCUGCACACGUGCUACAUUUAGUAGCGCAGUGUGCACAUUAAUAGAGUGAUAGGUUCCGUGGUUUGUACAUUUUAAGGGCUCGUCCUAGUAACCAAAGCUCCACGGGACAUAUCAACCUUCCCCUUACAGGGCGGGUAACCUCUUCGAAGUGCUGGCAUGAUUUCCCUAGUUUUGGCAUUUGAAUCCUUGUCGCAGCAGCCCUGAGACGUAGUGAACGCUGCAAAGUGAUUCCAGUCUUAGGUUUGCGACACAUGCAAUUCCUGGUUGACUCAUCGUGGGGACUGAUUCUUGUAAUUAUUUUUCACGGUUCAACCAGGAAUGCCUUGUACCGGCGGCUCAUUAAACCGCUGGGAAUACGUCCCUGCCCUUUGUACACACCGCCCGUCGCUCUUACC
rnacentral:rRNA from 1 species